rnacentral:tRNA from 1 species
GCCCCCAUCGUCUAGCGGCCUAGGACAGCGGCCCUUCAAGCCGCCAACACGGAUUCGAAUUCCGUUGGGGGCACCA